CGGAUGUCUUCUAAAGAGAAACAAGUAGGGCAGUUGGGGGAGGAGAAGGACUAUCUAUCAAUAUAAACGCAACAAGUAGAGGAGAGAUGAUCAACAGAAGAGAAAUGCUCUUGCAUUGUAUUUGCUGUGUAGAGUCCCCAAGUCGAGUCAGAAAAACAAAAUGUUUCCUUUCCUUGUCUUUUUUAUUUAUACUUUGGUGAUGCUUGUCUAAUCCUGAUGGAAUAUCAAGAAUUUGUGUGGGUAUAGAGAUGGUAUAAGUAAACUUUGGUUCUGAAAUUUUUUUGUUGGCCUCUCUACCUUUCGUCUUCACCAUUCCUUGUAAAUUCCGAUCAUUCGAUAAUUGCCCGAUUUCACUCGGUAAUUAUUAUGCAUUCGCUGAUUUUAUUGUUUGGCUGGAUGCUGCUCUGCUCUGUGAUAUGAAGACUUAUUCUAUAGUUCCACGCAGGUCCGGCCCUGGGCUAAAACCCGUAAAGCAUGGGCUUUAGGCGCCAAAAUUUUUUAAUAAUUUAGGGGCACCAAAUUUCAAAUAGUUACUUUGGGCUAGUGGUAUGUUAACAUUUUUUGUUGUCCUACAGGUUCUGAGUUCGAUUGAGCUUCCUUUUUGUAUCCCAUUAAAUCUACCUUUAAUAAUGAUUGCAAGUAAAUGAGCUGUAAAUAAGUUACGGUUGAUUUUAAGAGAAUCUUUGUUUAUUUUUAGAAUAUAUAUAACAUCAAACGUAAAGUAUAGAGAGUAAAUAAAAAAAAAACAAAGUCUAUGUUCUCCAUUAUUUACUAUAUCUAUUAAUUCAAAAUUGAUCAUUUUUGAAUUAUUUAUGUUCCCCAUUGUUCAUUGACGGUUGAUGAAAUUGAUGUAUCUUUCAGUUUUUAUAUAAGUUUUAUUUUCUUUAUCUUUUGUCCUAAUUUUUAUUAUUUAAGAACUUUUAAAAAGUAAACAUGAAAGUAUAAUUAUUUUUUUUCUCUUUGAAAUUUUUAACAGAACUACUUCGUAAAUUUUAUAAAUUAUAAUUAUUCUUCAAAAUACUUUACUAUUUGAUAAAUAUUGCAAAGAAAACUGUGAAAAAUAUUGAAAUGUUAUUCUUUUAAAAAAUAACGGAUGAUUAUAAUCAUACAUUAGUAUGUCUAACGUAUUACCGAUAAUAUUAAUAAACAUAAAAGUAUUGAAAACACUUUAUUAUACAAAAUUUAUGAAUAACUUUACAAAAAAAAUUAAAAAGAAUUAUUGAUAUUUAUAUACUUUAUUUGAAAUUUUAAUAAUGUUGAGAAUGCAAAUAAAAAAUUAGGUGUAACUAAGGGAAACAAUUUUUGGAUGCGCUUUAGGCGCCAAUAGAGUCCGGACCGGCACUGGUUCCACGCUUGCUUGUCUACGUACCAAUAACAACUAGGUUUCAAAAUUCACAAUAAGGAUCGAAACUAUAUCCUCUAGAUGACAGAAUUCAUGUAAAAGAAAAAAUAACUUACGUCUUAUUAACACGUCUAGUAAAAGAAAGAACAAGGAGCUGAGGGGGUGUCGGUAAGCUAAAAGAAAGAACAAGGAGCUGAGGGGGUGUCGGUAAGCUACAAGGUCGGAGGCUCUCCGUGGACGGGCUUUCGAAUCUGAAACCCAUGAUCCACUCCACAUUUUUGUGUUGAUGCCCAAUCCAAUGGUUUUGCGUAAACCCAACAUAAACAAUGGUUUUGUGAUCAUAAUGCUACGUUAACCAAAACAAGGUGAAUAAACUCUCCGAUUUUCCAACAAACAAGAACAAUUAUACUCCGGAGUAAUAUCGUUCCUCGAUUAUCGGAGCCAAAGGGAUGAGGAGAAUUGUCUUCAUAAUUGCUUUUUUUUUGUAACACAAGAAAUUUCAUUAGAUGGUUUGGUUAAACCGGGUUCACUACAAAGCGUCUGAGAGCUUGUUUAGCCAUAGAGUCUUCAAACUUAAGGUUUUCUCGAUGGAUAAAACGAAACGAAAUUGAAACAAAAGAGGUAGAUAGAAGGCGAAUAUCAGAGAGGAUUCCAUGAGUCUCCGAGAAGCUUGAAUCGCCCAAUAGCUGCCACCAACUGUAGAGAGUCUGAUUCGAAGAUCACUGAUCCAAGCUGCAGAGCAAUUGCAUGCUCCAUCGCCGAGCGUAUUGCUAGUCCCUCCGCCAUGCUCCAUCUUCAUAAUUGCUUUACAAUCAAUUUUAUACGAGGUGAUUAUUCCAUGUUCAUACAUAUAUAUUAUAAAAUAAUCAACUACAAUUAAUUAAUCUGUUAUUUGUAUUUGUUGAUAAAUUUUAAACCAUUUUAUAUUCUAAACAUAUGAAAAGUAAAUAGAAUAAUGUAUUUAAAUUAUCUCAAUUAAAUAUGUGAUUUCAUGUAUAAUUAUUAAGGUUGGUUCAGUUUUUCUUUUUGAUAUAUUAGUUUGUAUUUAUUUUCCAAUUAGAUCACAAUUUAUGUUGUUUUUAAAUAAACUAAAAUCAGAUAUAUAUAUAUAUAUAUUUAAUUUGAUUCAUCCAGUAGUUUGUAGAUAUAUUUUAUAACAUGUGUAUAAUUAAUUAUAUAUUUAUAGGAAAAAGUAGAAAAAUAAAAACCAAGUGUUAAUUUAAUUAGAAUUCCAUCAACCAAAAUAAUAAGUGAUAUCUAAAAAGUCAUAUACAUAUUUAAAUAUUUAUAAAUAACUAAAUCACAAUAACUGAUUAAUGUUUUACUUUCAUUGGUUUAUAAAAUUUAAGAUGUCUUUACAAUUAUGUUGUUAACUUAGUUUGACAUAUUAUUUUGUCUUAUUUUUUGAACAACACAUACUCCCUCUGUUCCUAAAUGUAGGAUGUUCCAAAAAAAUUUGAUGUUCCAAUAUAUAAGAUGUUUUCAACUUUCUAAGUAACUUUUACUUUAUUAAAAACUGCGUAACCAAUCAUAUUUAAUAAUCUAUUUUGUAACUGGUUGAAUACAAUUAUUUUAUAGUUUUAAUGGUACUUUCUAGACAAAAAAAAAUUUCCUUAAUAUAUGUGUUUUUUUCCUAAACAUCUUAUAUUUAGGAACAGAGUGAGUAUAAUUUUAGGUAUAAAAAUUGAGAAAAAAAUGAUUAAUUAUUUUUUUAAAGGAUAUUUAGUUGCAACAGUUCCUCUAAAUUGAACGAACUAUUCUUUUUGUUUUCUAGUAACUAUUAAGGCUAAAAUGUAAAAUUUCGUUCUUUUCAUUUAAGUUGGUUGACCGGGCUUGAAAGCACGGGUUUAUUCUAUAAAAUAUAAUUAUAAAAAAUAUAAAUACAUGUAGUUUUUCAUGUGCUUGAUUAUUUUACUCUCACAAAAUCUGAAUCAGAACAGACCAAAAAUUACAGGCUCGAUUCAAGUCUAGGCUAAAUUACCUAUCAGGUACAAAAUAUGACCAACGGGUCUUGUUUCGGGUCUAUUUCCUACCCAAGACCCCAUCAGAUAUUUUGAAAUACCCAAAAUUUCUAGUAUAUAUUAGUUAUAUUUGAGUAUUAUAGUAUACUUUUGGUAUUACAAAUACUUUUUAUGUUUUGGGUUAGAGUUUGUGGUUAUGGUUUCGAGUUUAAGGUAAAAUUUCAUAUUUUCACAAAUAUAAUUUGGGUAUUUGGGGAAAUGUUUUGGUUGCUAAUUGAAUAUUUUUAGAUAUUAUUUUGGGUAUUUCGGGUCUUUUCCGAAGAGAUGAUGAUAUUUUAGUAUAUUGGAUUUGUACAUAUGUAUAAUUCUUUGGUCCACUUAGUAUACGUCCAAAAGAUGAUUUAUAAACUUGGUCCACAAAAAUUAGUCGAGUAAUAAUUAAAAAGCUAAGUUAGUCGAGUACUAAUUAAAAGCUGUUAUGACUAAUUAAAUGCAUUGAAUGUUAUAUAGUUAGAGAAAUAUAAGGUAUAACCAAAAUAAUUAGUUAAUAAAAGGGUGCAACAAACUUUUAUAAGUAGAUUUUUGGGAAUAAUUAAAUUUGGGAGGUUGACUAAUAAUAUAUUAUUCAAAGUAGUUUCAAGUGUUAUGAUAACAUUUAUUCAAUGCUCAUACACAAAUUUGAUUAACACAAACAAGAUAUUUGUUAUAUAAAAAGAGAGGUAGUCAAGAAAAUUAUUUUUAUCUCAUUUGUGAGAAAUGGAAAGUAUUAAAAAAAUUACUCAGACUUAAACUGGUUUAAAAAUUAAAUGAAAACAUAUAAAUAACUAUGAUUCUUUUAAGAUUUACAUUAUUUAAAAAACAAAUAUUUUUUCAUGUUCAGACAUGUUUUAAAAUAUAAUGAAUUGAAAACAAAUUUCAACAACCAAGCUACAUCGAUUCAGAUUUUUGGCAUAAAAUCUGUUAUUAUCCAAAUCAAAUUUAAGUUGAAAAUCAGGAUAAAUGAAUUUCUGUUGGUUACAAAAUUCAAAAAGUUAGUUAAAGAUAAAAAAAAUUUAUACUUUAAAUAAUAUGACAGUUACAAUUUUGUUUUUUCGGAAUAUCUAUAAUUAUACAUAUUAUCUUUAGGUAACGAUUUUAUACUCCUAUAAAAAGCUUUGUUUCCUUCAUAUUUCUUCAUUCAAAAACCAUUUUUCUAAGUAAAUAUGGUUUAUCUAAGAUUUCUUUUAUGUUUUCUUUUCGUAAGUAAUGUCUAUGCCACAAUCGUUUCUCAUGAUGGCCGAGCCAUUACCAUUGAUGGUCACCGCCGAGUUCUCCUUUCUGGUUCGAUUCAUUAUCCUAGAAGCACUCCUGAGGUAUUUAAUCUACCUUACAUCAAACAGUAUGUGUGGUCUUAGUCUUUUAUGUUUGCUACUAAUUAUAAUCGUUUUUGUUAAUAUUUUUAGAUGUGGCCGGAUCUUAUCAAAAAAAGUAAAGAAGGAGGUCUUGAUGCGAUCGAAACAUAUGUCUUCUGGAAUGCGCAUGAGCCUACUCGCCGUCAAUAUGACUUUUCUGGAAAAUUAGAUCUUAUUCGAUUCCUGAAAACCAUUCAAGAUGAAGGAUUGUAUGGUGUUCUUCGCAUAGGACCAUAUGCAUGUGCUGAGUGGAAUUACGGGUAAUAUACUAAAAUGGAUUUAGCUAGUCUCUUUAAGUUCAAUAUAUACCAGUUUAAUACAUUUUCAUAAUAAGUUAGCUUCUUGUAUGGUGAGAGUACGGUUUUCCAUACAAUGUUUUGGUCGAUAAAUGGUCCAAUGAAUUGAUUUUAUUAAUCAGUAUACCAAAACUUAUGUAUCGUAAAUGUGAGUACUAGUCUUUUAACUAUAAUAUAUUUUUAAUAGAUUAUCAUAAUGAGUUUCCUUCUUGUUUUAUGAUAUUAUUGUUUCUCAUGUAAUUUUUUUUACCUGCAAUUUCUUUUAAUAAUUUUAAACAGAGGAUUUCCAGUUUGGCUGCACAACAUGCCUGGAAUGGUGUUCAGAACUACAAAUAAAGCAUUUAUGGAUGAGAUGCAAAACUUCACAACUAUGAUAGUAGACAUGGUCAAGAAAGAAAAUUUAUUUGCAUCACAAGGAGGCCCAAUAAUUCUUGCUCAGGUAAUUGAUUUAAUCUUUUAAAUAGAUUAUGUGGUGUUUCGUAAUGUUAUAUAUAAUUCUUAACAAUAUUUAUGUUUUUUUGUUUUAUUAAUCUUGCAGAUAGAAAAUGAGUAUGGAAAUGUAAUGGGACCCUAUGGAGAAUCGGGUAAAGCAUACAUUAAGUGGUGUGCAAACAUGGCUCAGUCUCUUGAUGUUGGUGUUCCAUGGAUAAUGUGUCAACAAAAUGAUGCUCCUCAGCCUAUGGUAAUAGAUCAGUCUAGUUAUAAUGAAUAUUUAUUUAAUAUAUUCAAAGGUUAACUAUCUUAAAUCGUUUUUGUUUUUAUAGUUAAAUACAUGUAAUGGAUUUUAUUGUGACAAUUUUGUACCAAACAAUCCCAACACUCCUAAGAUGUGGACUGAGAAUUGGACCGGAUGGUAAGUUUUAUUUUCAGUAUGAUUAUAUUUUUAUUAUUUUGUAAAUAUUUUAUCAUAAUAUAUUCAUUUUGUCUUCUCUUUGUUUAGGUUUAAGCAAUGGGGUGGCAAAAAUCCCCAUAGAACAACCGAAGAUGUUGCAUUUUCUGUUGCAAGAUUCUUCCAAAGAGGAGGAACUUUUAAUAAUUAUUAUAUGGUAAAUUAUAAUAAUGAAAUUUAACUUAUUUAUUAAAAUAAGCUCACAGAAAAUCGACAUUAACUAGAAAGAAUAAU